rnacentral:tRNA from 2 species
CAGGAUAUAGUAUAGUGGCAGUACACGUCUUUCGGGAAGACGAGGUCUGGGUUCGAUUCUCAGUAUCCUGA